rnacentral:rRNA from 1 species
CCUACGGGGGGCUGCAGUGGGGAAUAUUGGACAAUGGGCGAAAGCCUGAUCCAGCCAUGCCGCGUGUGUGAAGAAGGCCUUCGGGUUGUAAAGCACUUUCAGUGGGGAAGAAAGCCUUGGGGCUAAUACCCUCGAGGAAGGACAUCACCCACAGAAGAAGCACCGGCUAACUCCGUGCCAGCAGCCGCGGUAAUACGGAGGGUGCGAGCGUUAAUCGGAAUUACUGGGCGUAAAGCGCGCGUAGGCGGUCUGAUAAGCCGGUUGUGAAAGCCCCGGGCUCAACCUGGGAACGGCAUCCGGAACUGUCAGGCUAGAGUGCAGGAGAGGGAGGUAGAAUUCCCGGUGUAGCGGUGAAAUGCGUAGAGAUCGGGAGGAAUACCAGUGGCGAAGGCGGCCUUCUGGACUGACACUGACGCUGAGGUGCGAAAGCGUGGGUAGCAAACAGGAUUAGAUACCCGAGUAGUC